UCGAGGAUCUUCGGCAAUGGGCGCAAGCCUGACCGAGCGACGCCGCGUGUGCGAUGAAGGCCUUCGGGUUGUAAAGCACUGUCGAGGGGGAGGAAAGCCGCAAGGCCUGACCUAUCCCUGGAGGAAGCACGGGCUAAGUUCGUGCCAGCAGCCGCGGUAAGACGAACCGUGCGAACGUUGUUCGGAUUCACUGGGCUUAAAGGGCGCGUAGGCGGCCCGCCCUGCCUCGGGUGAAGCCCCCGGCUCAACCGGGGAAGUGCCUGGGAUACUGGCGGGCUCGGAGGGAAGUAGGGGCGGGCGGAACUUCCGGUGGAGCGGUGAAAUGCGUUGAUAUCGGAAGGAACGCCGGUGGCGAAAGCGGUCCGCUGGGCCUCUACUGACGCUGAGGCGCGAAAGCCAGGGGAGCAAACGGGAUUAGAUACCCCGGUAGUCCCUGGCCCUAAACGAUGGGGUACUAGGUUGUGAGCUUGAC
rnacentral:rRNA from 1 species